CUAACGGGUUAAUAUCCUAAAUAUCCUACCUACCCAUUACUACCCCACCCAACCGCCCAAAACCCCUUUCCCCUCACUAACUCACGUUGAUAUCAGCCACAACACUCAUUCUCUAUCUCUCUCUCACACACUCACACUCAAACACGCCAAACACCAUUUUUAGCUUGGACGGAGGUUUCAAGCUCCGAUUUGAGCACCGAGACGAGCGCCGAUCAUCUUUUCGAUCAUGUAUCUAAGUAGGUCCUUUUGGGAAGUAACGACUUGAGGGAGAGAGUGACGUUACUCAUUGAUACAGAGACACAACGAGGUUGAGCUGAUGUGAUGAUGGUGCUGCAAUGAGCGGAGUCUCCAGGGUUGUUAAUAAAUAGUUAACCUGUCUAGAAUAUGUCUUCAUACAUAUGUCUAGCUACUUUCCGCUGCAAGAUGUUGUUGAUGUUAUAGUAUGUUAUGUCAUACUUUGAGUCUUAAGAGAAUGGUUGCAUAUGAUGUAUAACUUGAUUAAUGAUAUUAAUUAACUUUUAUGCAGUCUUUCAUAGACUGUUUUCAA